CCUACGGGAGGCAGCAGUGAGGAAUAUUGGUCAAUGGCCGCAAGCCUGAACCAGCCAAGUCGCGUGAGGGAUGAAGGUCCUAUGGAUUGUAAACUUCUUUUGUAAGGGAGUAAAGUGUGCCACGUGUGCCGUUUUGAGAGUACCUUAAGAACAAGCAUCGGCUAACUCCGUGCCAGCAGCCGCGGUAAUACGGAGGAUCCGAGCGUUAUCCGGAUUUAUUGGGUUUAAAGGGAGCGUAGAUGGGUUGUUAAGUCAGUUGUGAAAGUUUGGGGCUCAACCCUAAGAUUGCAAUUGAUAAUGGCAGUCUUGAGUACAGUUGAGGGAGGCGGAAUUCGGGGUGUAGCGGGGAAAUGCUUAGAUA
rnacentral:rRNA from 1 species